GCACGGCUUCGACGUAUCCCCACAGCUUAUCGUCACGCCUUGCCUACCGAAGCGCGAUUCGAGGGCACACACACACACACACAUACGCGUAAACCAUGGAGCACGCAGGUCGUGGUGUGCUGUUGCCAGCGCGGCGGUGCAGCUCGGUGCCGAGGAAUCUGGAGGGAUCACGCAGCAGUCCGAGCUCUUUCUACGCCUUCCCGUCCACCCUCAACGACAUCCUGUUCGGUCCCCGGCAGCGCCUCACCAAGUACGCAGACGGCAUGCAGGCCUUGCCGUACGCCAGCUCAGCACCCACUAUCGAGGAGGCGGAGGUCGCCGCUGCCGGUCCACGCGCCGACGCACGAGUAGAAGACGCGGCCGCUGCAGCAGCCACCGAGGCCGUCAAGUCGCGCUCCCGGGAAGCAACAGAGAAGCAGGCGGCAAAGGAAGAGGUCGUGACGGUGGCACCGGCCGAGCAGGAAGCCGCCGACAAACCUCUCGAAGAGGACUUUGCUGCCGCCGUGGUUGUUGCUCCAGCGGAGACUGAGAGCGCGGCGACAGCGCAGAUAGGGGCGGACGCGCCGGACGACGCUGCAGCGCCCACUGCAGCCGACGAGGCUGAAAGCACGGCAAAGGAAGAGGAGGGAGGUAAAACAGACGCUUCGCUCGACUACGUUGCCGAUGAGGCACCGUCACGUAGCUUCGCAGUCGUCACCGCUGACGAGGCGGAGAAGGACACUGCCACAAAGGAUGACGCUGCUGCUGCUCCUGCUGCGGAAGUAGUAAGCAGUGCCGGCAGGGCCGACGGGAAGACAGUGCCCGAGGCGGCUGCAGCAGAGCAGGAGGAGGGAUGUGAGACCGCUGAGGAAGCACAGAGGUCGUCCGAUGCCGCCACGAGGGUAGGCGCGGAAGAGCGGGAGACCGCCGCGGUGCCGCAAAACUACGGCCGGGAUGAGGCGACUGCGGUGGCAGCGGAGCCGAGUGCUGCGCCAGAGGACGAGCCGCCGGCGGAGCCACCGCAGCUGCGCACCACGUGUGAGAUGGUGGCCUUUGAUGCGGCGCAUAUCGCCGCGUGGAUGAUGGAGUACCGCCAUGAGACGGCGCACGUCCCUCCCGGGGUGCAGCGCUUCGUGCACGAGUUCAACGAGCGAGCGGCCAAGUUUACGCCGCUGCGGAUGGGCGGCACGAGCCCGACUCCGAGUGCCAUAGGAGCUGCCGCAAAGAAGGGGAAGAAGGGCAGCCUAAGUCUCAGCUCCGUCGGCAGCUCGAAGACUGGGAUCGGCGCGCUGGCAGACCUGCCCAGCCGGGACGGCGGCGGGUUCGGCUCCUCUGCUGCCCUGCGCACCGGCACCAGCGUCGCAGCGAAGAAGUCGAAUGCGCUGGAGGCGCUCGGUGAUGUGUGGGAGGGCCGCCAGGAGGCACCGAUCUCGCUCGCGCAGGGCUCGCUGCGCCGCCGGGGUCUGUUCGGCGAAGUGGAGAAGAAGAAGAUCCACCACAUGGUGGUGGCGGUGCUGAACAAGGUGACCACCGACCCGGUCAAGUUUCGCGAAGUCAAGAACGAGCUGCUUCGCCUACCCAUCCCCGAGGCAAACGCGGAGCAGAUGACGAAGAUCGUGGACGCCUUCUUCACCAAGGCGGUGCGGGAGCAGCACUUCAGCCACAGCUACGCCGACCUCAUCGCGGCCCUCUGCAAGGUGCCGCAAGGACAGCACAUCGUCGGUGACAAGACACAGAGCCUUGAGUACCGUCUGCGCAUGGCUUUGUUGAAGCGCUGCCAGGCCGAGUUUCUGCAGAGCAUCCGAGCUGAGGAGACGGACGCGUCCAGUCCGACGACGAUGUCGACGGCGGCGGACGACGUGUCCUCCCCGCUGACGUCCGCCAUCGAAGGCGCUCAGGCGAUUGGCGGCGAGACGGAGAAGGAGCGUCGCGACCGCAUGUGUGGCAACGUCCGAUUCGUGUGCGAGCUGUUCCUGCGCGAUAUCGUCGCCGCUUCUGUUAUUUCCGUCAUCUUCCGCAUCUGCUGUCUCGGCUCCGAGUUCGGAGAGUUUGCCGUGCCGCCGUCGUACACACCAACGGAGUCGCAGGUGGACGAGAUUAUCACCGUCGUAAAGACCGCCAAGAAGCGCUACUUUGUACACUCCGCAGAGGGGCGCCGGAUGCUGCCGCAGCUGCUGAGCCAGCUGGAGUACUGGGUGAAGCACUAUGCCAUCAGCCGCUGCCGCUUCGUGCUCAUGUCUACGGUCGAUGACCUGCGGGCCAUGCUGCCCAAGGAGCCGGCCUCGCCGAUGAUGAGUGGUACGCCGAGUGUGGCGGCUUUCGUGACGCCUCAGCUGACGCACAUCUCGCCGACGCAGUCACCGCCGCCUUGCGACGUCUCUGAGCAGGGGGUGGUCUCCGCAGUCUCACCCGCCCCGCUGUCGGUUACAGCGGCGUUGCCAGUAGUCACUGCGGCAGACGCGAGCGGGCAGCUGUCGAUGAGCUCCACGAUGGUGGGUGGGCAGCCUCUGCCAGCGCCACGCAGUAAGCAGGUGGGCAGUGUGAGUCUUAGCGACUCAGCCGGCUCGAUCAACGGCAUGGCCGCCACCGAGUCUCCUGUUACUGGCGCCAUCACACGCCCCACCGUCACGCUAACGUCGCGGUCAACUCUUCAGCACGUGCGCCCUGAGGCUAUCGCGAAGCUGAUGGCGGCCUUCUCCAGUGGCCAAUGCAGCGCCGAUGAGGUGGCCGCGCAGCUCUUCGACACGUACGGCAAUGUGCUGCCGGCCCUCGGGGCGUGGAUGGACCGCUGUCUCUCCGUUGUCAAGGAAGAGAAGACACGCAAGCAGACCGGCGCCGUGCUUGUCGCCUGCGUAGAGCAGCUGACGGCGCACACGAACGCGAGCAGCGAGGAGGCGGCGGAGACGGUGGCGAUGUGUCGCGAGCAGCUGCACGAGGCCGCCAUGGAGGCCCUGCAGCGUGCCAUCGAAGGUAAGCUCUACGAGGACCUCCACGUCUUCCAGUUCUGGGCGCAACUCGUCCUGUCCGACCACGCGCGUGUCGUCUACGACGAAGAGCUCCUGAACGAGGGCCUCGAGCUGCUCGUGUACACCGCUCCACCCGCCGUGCGCAGCUACCUCGUCGAAGUAGGAAAAUACAUGACACAUGUGCUCGUCGCCCCGGAAAAGCUGCCGUGGCAGGCGUCGACGGAGGCGCAGUGCUUCGUGCGGUACCGACCGCUGCUUGUGCUGCACAGUCUCGUGAUGUCCGGCGGCCCCAGCGAGGCGCAGGCGCUGCUCGAUAACAUCGUCGGCUUCAGCGACGUGCGACAGCAGUCGCUGGAGUUGCGGCUCUACCACGCCUUCCGCACCGGCUCACCUUCACGAGAAGUCAUCUUCGAGCAGCUGCGCACGUCACCUCGGACGACGAGCCGCGACUCGACGCUUGCUGCGGAGGUGCUUAGCGCGCUUCUCAUCGCAGAGCUGUGCUCCAACGGUGAUGCUCUCGUGGAGGACAGCAUGGACCUCCUUCAAAUCACCGUCGACGGCGUGGCACGCGCGGAACGCGAGAUCGCCGUUGUGACCGAGGUCUACGAGAUUCUCCGCUACACGCCUCGCCCCAUGACGAUGUCGGCCGCAGCCCGAGUGCUGCGCAAGUUUGUGUGCAUGCACAUUGUGUCCGACGAGACGAUGGAGCGGGCAGAUCGCUUUUACGAGGCGGAGCGCGAUGGUGCCAUCGAGAAACCAACCCAAGAGGGCGGCCACGCGCUGGCUGCACCGCCGAGCGCCGAGUACCCGCGUAUCAUGGAUCGCCGCGGCACCGAUGACAUCCUGCUCAGCGGCAGCAUUUCUAUGCGCUCCGUGAACGGUGCAGUGGCUACGAAUAGCAACGGCAACGGCAACAACGGUGGCGGCGUUGGCGGGGGAACGGGGUCUGUGGAUGGAUUGCAGAGCUCCAACGCCAGCAGCUUCGGUGAGUUCCGCCCCCGCGACAGCCACCCACCGCGCCGCGAUGCAGACAGCGAGCACACCAGCAGCCGCCACUCGGAGCGGCAGCUGUCACCACGGCGGAGCAACCAGAGCAACGGCUCCUUCCAGACAGCACGCGGCGACGGGGGCAGCAGCAAGCGACUGUACCGCAACUCCUACAAGAACCGUCGCCGCAGCCAAGGAGAGGGCGGAAACGAGCGGCACUCCAGGGCAGGGGGCAGCAAAGACGAAUCGCUGCAGCAGCAGCCCACAGGGUCGUUGUCGACGUCAUCGAACUACGCUAGUAGUCACGAUGGCAGCCGCCACGGCGGUGGGGGUCGCUACGACCGUCAGCACGGCGGCUCGCGCUCCGGGCGAGGCAGCGGCCACUUUGACCGUGGCCGCGGCGGUAGUGGUGGUAGCCGCGGCAACGGCACCGCACUUCAUCGAGGGGGUGGCGGCGGUGGCAAUGGUCGCGGCAUUUUGCGCGAGGACUCGCGUCGAGGCACCGGCGGUGGCGGUGGCAAGGCUGAGUAAUGGUGCGGAUCUGAGUCGAUGUAUUUUGGUGCUGGUGGGGAACGUAAGGUUUGCAAAGUCUGGCCGUUGGGCUCUAGCUUCUUCUUUCGUAACUCGUGCUGCAGCUGUCUCCCUCGGCGUUGCGUCUUGCAGCUGCAUUGAAGCCACGCACACACACACACACACACACACACACACACGCAGAGACGCGGCUGUAGCGAGAGCGAUGAGCUCCAGUGCGUGUGUAUGUGUGUGUAGCAGCUCGCAGCUUUACAAGU
rnacentral:misc_RNA from 1 species